AGUCAAGGGCCGGAGGGCUGCGACGCGUGGCUGACCAACGCGGCAGCUCGGGAUGGAGAGAGAAGUAGCACAAGAUGGGAAGGAGGGAGUACUGGAGCAGGUGGAAAGGCCGUCAGAAGCAGAAACGUCCAGGGCAAGCAGUUCCAGAGGUCACACAGGAAAUUAAAGACAGGACUCGGAUUGGAAUCCCGUCUUCAAGGCACCCGAGCCCCGGGGGAAGGUGACUUUGUCCCGGUCAAAAGGGCUGUAGCAGGUGUCAGCCUCGAGGUGGCGGCUCUGUGGGACCGACUGCCUGGAAGUAACAGAGCGAGGGCGGCACCCUCGGUGGGAACACAGAGGCGCGCGGAGCCGUACGAGCCUAGCUGCCAGAGCCGAGGAGCCACGCGGUUGCUCAGAGCUCGGCGAGAUCAGCUCCACCGAGGGCCUUCCCUCCUCCGGAUGAGAAGCGACCGAGCCGGGCAGAGCUGCCCACAUGCACUUUAAUCAAAAGGGCUGUAUCGGUGGGAGCCUCAGAGCCCUUGUCCCUCCGCACUCGUGGGGAGCCGUUGAAACCAGUCGCCCAGGUCACCUUGGAUUCCAGGAACAAGGUCUUACCCAGGACAAUUCCCCACCUGAUUAAUCCUGAGAUAAUGGUGAACAUAAUACACCUGAUCAAGAACAUCUGCACUGGCAACUGUGAAAAACCUCCAGCUGUGCAAACCCCUGCACAGUGCCCUCAUUCCCCUUUCUAUAAACCUCAAGUCAUUCAUUAUCAGUCCCUCAAAGACUGGACUAAGGACUUGGGUUCCCUUGUCCUCUUAGUAUAGCUACACUGAUUGAAGUUCCUUUCAAGCUUUUCAUCAUUGCCUUUUCUGUUUGAUUUUUUGGGGCAAGUAGCCAGACCGGAUUUGUUGGAUCCCAAGAGU